UACGAAGGGGGCUAGCGUUGUUCGGAUUUACUGGGCGUAAAGCGCACGUAGGCGGACUCUUAAGUCGGUGGUGAAAUCCUGGAGCUCAACUCCAGAACUGCCUUCGAUACUGAGAGUCUCGAGUCCGGGAGAGGUGAGUGGAACUGCGAGUGUAGAGGUGAAAUUCGUAGAUAUUCGCAAGAACACCAGUGGCGAAGGCGGCUCACUGGCCCGGUACUGACGCUGAGGUGCGAAAGCGUGGGGAGCAAACAGGG
rnacentral:rRNA from 1 species